rnacentral:rRNA from 1 species
AUCGUUUGGAAGCAUGCGAACGAUGGGAUCUACACGGCGGCCACCGCAUACAAGGCUCAAUUCCUAGGCAUGACUCUUUCCCCUUUGGAUCGCAUGGUUUGGAAGGCAUGGGCACCUCCAAAGGUUAAGUUUUUUGCUUGGUUGGCGUUGCAAGAUAGGAUUUGGACCGUCGAUCGCUUGGAGCGUCGAGGUUGGCCAAAUUGUGGCCUUUGCAAGCUCUGCAACAGGGAGCAAGAAUCAGGAGCCCACCUUUUCUUCAAGUGCCGCUACACGAUUCGGCUAUGGAAGUCUCUUAUUGAGAAACUAGGUCUUGCGCAC